rnacentral:tRNA from 1 species
GAAGAGCUGGCCGAGCGGUCGAAGGCACCAUCUUGGAAAGGUGGCGUAGUGCAAGCUACCGUGGGUUCGAAUCCCACGCUCUUCGCCA